rnacentral:rRNA from 1 species
CCAGCCAAGUCGCGUGAGGGAUGACGGUCCUACGGAUUGUAAACCUCUUUUGCCGGGGAGCAAGCGUGCGUUCGUGAACGCGCGUCGAGAGUACCCGGAGAAAAAGCAUCGGCUAACUCCGUGCCAGCAGCCGCGGUAAUACGGAGGAUGCGAGCGUUAUCCGGAUUUAUUGGGUUUAAAGGGUGCGUAGGCGGGAUGCCAAGUCAGCGGUAAAAAUGCGGUGCUCAACGCCGUCGAGCCGUUGAAACUGGCGUUCUUGAGUGGGCGAGAAGUAUGCGGAAUGCGUGGUGUAGCGGUGAAAUGCAUAGAUAUCACGCAGAACUCCGAUUGCGAAGGCAGCAUACCGGCGCCCUACUGACGCUGAGGCACGAAAGCGUGGGUAUCGAACAGGAUUAGAUACCCUGGUAGUCCACGCAGUAAACGAUGAAUGCUAACUGUCCGGCUCGAGUGAGCGCUGG